GAAAGGAGUAGGGGUUUGAGACACAGAGACAUGCAGAAGAAAGAGGGCUGUGUGAAGAUGGAGGCAGACAUUGGAGUGAUGCAACUACAAGCCAAGGAACACCAAGGGGGUGCUGGCAACCACCAGCAUUAAGGAGACAGGAUGGAAAAGAUUCUCCCUCAGAGCCUCCAGGAACAGCCAAGUCUGCUGACAUUUGGAUUUUCAACUUCUGGCCUCUGGAAUUUGGAGAGAAUAGACUUCUGUUUAAAUCAUCAAGUUGGGGGUUAAUUUGUGGUGGCAGCAGCUUUCAGAAAGAAAUACAGAGCUGUAUGGGGUCUUGAGACUUUUGAUUUGAUGAGCUUCAUUUUAUUUUGGGGGGAGCUCAGAGACUUGCCCCAUUUUACUUGGUAGGUGAGUGGCUGAGCUUAGACUAGCAGGCUUGAUUACAGACUUUGAGGUGAUGGUCCUCCAUUUCCACUCGUGACCUUUUAUAGCACACCCAGUGUGUGCAGAGAAUGGGGUCAGGUGCCAGAUGGAGUAAGAGAUCUCACUCAUGGGCCUGCGUGAAUCCUGUAUCACCACCAUCGUUAAAGUUUCUCUCCGUUGAAGCCCUCUGUGGAACAAGACACAUCUCAAAGCUUCUCUCUGCUUCUUCUGCAUCUCAGAUUUACCAUCUGAUUGAGAUGAGAUGGCUGGAUGGCAUCACCGACUCGAUGGACAUGAGUUUGAGUAAACUCUGGGAGUUGGUGAUGGACAAGGAGACCUGGCGUGCUGCGAUUCAUGGGGUCGCAAAGAGUCGGACACGACUGAGCGACUGAACUGAUUGACUGAUGUUUUAAAACUAAUUUCAGAAAUCACUGGUGCACCACGUUCACCAUAUCUCUGGGGAAAGGAGACGCCAACCUGAGGAGCAACCAUGGGUUGUAAAUGUAGAUAAUCAAGAGCUUGGCCACACCCACCAUCCCUGUGGUCUUACUUUGGUUUGUCCUCAUUCAUUCUGUCUUGAGAUUCAGUUUCUUGUCUGAAUCCAUCGCCUUGCUCUUUUGGGGGCGAUAAACAAUUUCCGUUCAGGCCUUCUUGGACAUCACUUCUAUUUAUUUCACAAUCUGGAACUACUGAGGGUGGUUCCUCGGGUGGAGGAUAAAUCAGAAUUCACUCAGAACCAAAGAGGCAGGGUGAUAUAAGGGAGGGUUUUUAUCUGUGCUAGUGUUUGCUUUGGUGGUACAUACACUUAAAAUGAUUUUAAGUAUUAAAUCAUGCAUGCAAGGCAGGAAAGAGUUAAUCUGUCCCAGCCCCAUAGCGGAGAAGCAUGGGGAAACAUUAGCCAUCUUUGGGGAUAUUCUGUGUUCCAGGAGCUCUAGUAAACACUUUGCAUCUAGUAACUCAAUGACGCCUCACACUCACCAUACUAUGUGUUAGAAACAAUUCUUUUCCUUCAGUUUUCAGAUGAGGACACUGACACUAAAAACUUUUAGCA
rnacentral:lncRNA from 1 species